GAUGAACGCUAGCGAUAGGCUUAACACAUGCAAGUCGAGGGGCAGCAUGGUCUUAGCUUGCUAAGACUGAUGGCGACCGGCGCACGGGUGCGUAACGCGUAUGCAACUUGCCUCACAGAGGGGGAUAACCCGUCGAAAGACGGCCUAAUACCGCGUACACUCUAUGUUGGGCAUCCAAUGUAGAGGAAAAGAAUUUCGCUGUGAGAUAGGCAUGCGUCCCAUUAGCUAGUUGGUGAGGUAACGGCUCACCAAGGCGACGAUGGGUAGGGGAACUGAGAGGUUGAACCCCCACACUGGUACUGAGACACGGACCAGACUCCUACGGGAGGCAGCAGUGAGGAAUAUUGGUCAAUGGGCGAGAGCCUGAACCAGCCAAGUCGCGUGAAGGAUGACUGUCUUAUGGAUUGUAAACUUCUUUUAUACGGGAAUAACAAGAGCCACGUGUGGCUCCCUGCAUGUACCGUAUGAAUAAGCAUCGGCUAACUCCGUGCCAGCAGCCGCGGUAAUACGGAGGAUGCGAGCGUUAUCCGGAUUUAUUGGGUUUAAAGGGUGCGUAGGCGGCCUGUUAAGUCAGCGGUGAAAUCUAGGAGCUUAACUCCUAAAUUGCCAUUGAUACUGGCGGGCUUGAGUGUGGAUGAGGUAGGCGGAAUGCGUGGUGUAGCGGUGGAAUGCAUAGAUAUCACGCAGAACUCCGAUUGCGAAGGCAGCUUACUAAGGUACAACUGACGCUGAAGCACGAAAGCGUGGGUAUCAAACAGGAUUAGAUACCCUGGUAGUCCACGCCGUAAACGAUGAGUGCUGAGUGUUAGGGGGUUUCCGCCCCUUACUGCUGCAACUAACGCAUUAAGCACUCCGCCUGGGGAGUACGACCGCAAGGUUGACACUCGAAGGAAUUGACGGGGACCCGCACAAACGGUGGAGCAUGUGGUUUAAUUCGAAGCAACGCGAAGAACCUUACCAAAUCUUGACGUCCUCUGACCCCUCUAGAGAUAGAGUUUUCCCCUUCGGGGGACAGAGUGACAGGUGGUGCAUGGUUGUUGUCAGCUCGUGUCGUGAGAUGUUGGGUUAAGUCCCGCAACGAGCGCAACCCUUAAGCUUAGUUGCCAUCAUUAAGUUGGGCACUCUAAGUUGACUGCCGGUGACAAACCGGAGGAAGGUGGGGAUGACGUCAAAUCAUCAUGCCCCUUAUGAUUUGGGCUACACACGUGCUACAAUGGACAAUACAAAGGGUAGUGAAACCGCGAGGUCAAGCAAAUCCCAUAAAGUUGUUCUCAGUUGGGAUGGUAGUCUGCAAUUGGAUUAUAGGAAGCGGGAAUCGUUAGUAAUGGUAGAUCAGCAUGGUACGGUGAAUACGUUCCCGGGUCU
rnacentral:rRNA from 1 species